rnacentral:misc_RNA from 1 species
CGCACCUUGCGCCUAGUGGCCUCGGCCCGGGCAUGCCUGUUUGAGCGCCUCAUCAGACUUGCUUCAAGUAUUUUCUUGAAGCAGACUUGGGUGUGCUGUCGGCUUGCCGACUCGCCCUGAAUGCAUUAGCCUGACUGUAGUCUGGAUCGACGUGAUAAGUAUUUCGUCGCGACAGAUCAAGGUCGAGCUUCUAAUCGUCCUCGGACAAUACCAUCUCUUGGCAUCAAAUCAGGUAGGACUACCCGCUGAACUUAA